rnacentral:lncRNA from 1 species
AAACUUCAACUUAAAAUUCUAAAAAGAACAUUAGUUUUUAUUUUUGGGUCAAAGAAACAUUUAUUUCCCAUCCAUAAAUAAGCUAGUAAAUUUAUUUAUUUUUGUAAACAUACCAAUUUACUACAGACACUGGUAUGAUCAAUAAAUUUACUUCCUUAGAAAAUACUAUUAUUCUUGGUCAAAACAGACUUAACUUAUUAUUUUAAGGUCAGAUGUUAGAUUUAUUGGUGUCAUAUAUUUGCUCAAAAAAAAA